GGGACAAGCCCUGGAAACGGGGUCUAAUACCGGUAAAAAAAGCUCGCUGCCCUGCGAGGUUCGAAAGCUCCGCCUGUGCAGGGAGACCCCUCGGCCUAUCAGCUUGCUGGCGAAGUAACGGGUCCUUCGGCAACUGCGGGUUUUCGGCCUGACAGAACCAAUGGGCACCCCCCCACUGAAACGGGGGCCCAACUAUAACGGAAGGCAGCAGUGGGGAAUAUUGCACAAUGGGCGAAAGCCUGAUGCAGCGACGCCGCGUGAGGGAUGACGGCCUUCGGGUUGUAAACCUCUUUCAGCAGGGAAGAAGCGAAAGUGACGGUACCUGCAGAAGAAGCGCCGGCUAACUACGUGCCAGCAGCCGCGGUAAUACGUAGGGCGCAAGCGUUGUCCGGAAUUAUUGGGCGUAAAGAGCUCGUAGGCGGCUUGUCACGUCGGUUGUGAAAGCCCGGGGCUUCCCCCCGGGUCUGCAGUCUAUCAGGGCCGGCUAGAGUUCGGUAGGGGAGAUCGGAA
rnacentral:rRNA from 1 species